CGCGUAGGCGGUUUUUUAAGUCAGAUAGUGUAAUCCCCGAGCUUAACUUGGGAACUGCAUCUGAGACUGGAAGGCUAGAGUACUGGAGAGGGUGGUGGAAUUCCUCGUGUAGCGGUGAAAUGCGUAGAGAUGAGGAGGAACACCAGUGGCGAAGGCGGCCACCUGGACAGUAACUGACGCUGAGGCGCGAAAGUGUGGGUAGCAAACAGGAUUAGAUACCCUGGUAGUCCACGCUGUAAACGAUGAACACUUGGUGUGGAGGGAGUUGACCCCUUCCGUGCCGGAGCUAACGCGUUAAGUGUUCCGCCUGGGGAGUACGGUCGCAAGGCUGAA
rnacentral:rRNA from 1 species